UUGAACUAUAUAUAAAAAGGAUAAGUUUCCAUUCUUUACCUUACCUUCAUUUGCUCAUCUUGUAGUGAUUUUUGAAGACAUAGUGCUUUUUACUUGAGAGGGAUUCUAGCAUUGCUUUGCUGCACCAUCUUCAGUGACACGAGGCACCAUCAAACUCUCCGGACAGGAGCUAGCUGAUGUAGAGAAAGUGCUGAGGGUGCCUAAAGAAGAUAGAUACUUGGGUAAGCUACGUCCCUUGUUUCGAAAGUACGGUUUCCAGCCCUUAGUUUCCGAGUGCCAGAGACGAGCGAUGGAGAAGGUGGGCAA